rnacentral:rRNA from 1 species
CCUACGGGUGGCAGCAGUGAGGAAUAUUGGUCAAUGGGCGCGAGCCUGAACCAGCCAAGUAGCGUGAAGGAUGACUGCCCUACGGGUUGUAAACUUCUUUUAUAAAGGAAUAAAGUGAGGCACGUGUGCCUUUUUGUAUGUAUUUUAUGAAUAAGGAUCGGCUAACUCCGUGCCAGCAGCCGCGGUAAUACGGAGGAUCCGAGCGUUAUCCGGAUUUAUUGGGUUUAAAGGGAGCGUAGGUGGGUUGUUAAGUCAGUUGUGAAAGUUUGCGGCUCAACCGUAACAGUGCAAUUGAUACUGGGGGCCUUGAGUACAGUUGAGGUAGGCGGAAUUCGUGGUGUAGCGGUGAAAUGCUUAGAUAUCACGAAGAACUCCGAUUGCGAAGGCAGCCUACCAAACUGCCACUGACAUUGAUGCUCGAAAGUGCGGGUAUCAAACAGGAUUAGAUACCCUAGUAGUC